GGUGAUUAAGUGUGAGUCAUUCACAGCUCCAAAUCUGGUUUUCUACAGUUCUCUCCACUGCUCAACUAUGAGCCCCAUCCCGCACCUCUCACACUCCCCCAUGUCCCCCACACACCCCCUACCCAUGUGUAUGUGCCCACAUACGCACAGGUGUCAGCUUCAUUCCAGGCCUCACAACUCUGCACAAGAUCUUAAAAAAAAAAGGGGACCAUCUUAAAAUUUAGGACAUUUAUUUCCCAGAAGCCUCCCAGAAUUUUUACACUUGCCUUCCACUGGGUUACAUGGCUUUUCCAAAUCCAAAUUCUAUGGCUACAAAAAUGACAUGCAUUGAUGGGUUUAGGCCUAUGUUCCCUAAACAAUCACUGACAAGAAAUCUAAUAAUUGGCUUUUGACAAGUUAGAUCAAUUCUGAAGUAGAGUAGAUUCAGCUUCCCCAGGAGUAUUAGGGUGGUAUGGGAGGAAAAGUGGAUAUCUGUACAAAAAUCUGGGUACUACUGGGAAUGGAUAUUAAUAUUACAGGAAGCCUAUGAAAGAAUCACCAGCUUUGAUGAGUGGGGCUAAGGAAAUUCAGUGCAUUUGGAAGUAAGAAGUACUUGCAUAGAUACUUGGAUAGAUUUGGAUAGAUUUUUUUUUUUUUUCCUGAGACCAA
rnacentral:lncRNA from 10 species